UACGAAGGGUGCAAGCGUUAAUCGGAAUUACUGGGCGUAAAGGGUGCGUAGGCGGUUGUUUAAGUCUGUCGUGAAAUCCCCGGGCUCAACCUGGGAAUGGCGAUGGAUACUGGGCAGCUAGAGUGUGUCAGAGGAUGGUGGAAUUCCCGGUGUAGCGGUGAAAUGCGUAGAUAUCGGAAGGAACAUCAGUGGCGAAAGCGACUUCCUGGACCAGUACCGACGUCAGGCACGAAAGCGUGGGGAGCAAACAGG
rnacentral:rRNA from 1 species